GUGCUCGCUUCAGCAGCCCGUAUACUAAAAUUGGAAUGACACAGAGAAGAUUAGCAUGGCCCCUGUGUAAGGAUGACACAGACGCACAAAAAAGAAAGAAUGANAAA
rnacentral:snRNA from 1 species